GAUGAACGCUGGCGGCGUGCCUAAUACAUGCAAGUAGAACGCUGAAGGAGGAGCUUGCUCUUCUGGAUGAGUUGCGAACGGGUGAGUAACGCGUAGGUAACCUGCCUGGUAGCGGGGGAUAACUAUUGGAAACGAUAGCUAAUACCGCAUGACAACAGUUAUUGCAUGAUAACUGUUUAAAAGGGGCAACUGCUCCACUACCAGAUGGACCUGCGUUGUAUUAGCUAGUUGGUGAGGUAACGGCUCACCAAGGCGACGAUACAUAGCCGACCUGAGAGGGGUGUCGGCCACACUGGGACUGGGACACGGCCCAGACUCCUACGGGAGGCAGCAGUAGGGAAUCUUCGGCAAUGGACGGAAGUCUGACCGAGCAACGCCGCGUGAGUGAAGAAGGUUUUCGGAUCGUAAAGCUCUGUUGUAAGAGAAGAACGAGUGUGAGAGUGGAAAGUUCACACUGUGACGGUAUCUUACCAGAAAGGGACGGCUAACUACGUG
rnacentral:rRNA from 1 species